AUCCAUUUAGGAUCAAUCAGCUCUUUUCGUUCCGCAUGCAAAAGCUUAUAAGCAAUACGGAUUGUAGAAUCACUUACACCAGUAACUUCUGAUAUCUCUUUAGGAGUUUUAGGAUACCCCAUCAGAGCCGAAAUCAUAUAUAUUCCGCUUGCAGCAAUAGAAAUAGGUGAACGACCAGCCAAUGUACCUUGCAACCCAGCUCUACGAGCCAGUUCAGCAGCGGCUGAUUGCACCGACAUAGGAAGCAUAAGCCGAUUACAAAAGCGAACCAUGAGAUCUUCAGCCGAUGUAGAACUGCUUUGAAUGUACUCGUGGCCCUUUAAGGCAUCCACGGAAUUAUGCAGAGCGCCACCUUCAGUGAGCAUCCGUUGAAGAGUCUUGUAGACACGACCUAUUUCUUUUUUCGGGACAUUGGUCAAGGUGCAUAUCUCCAUAAAAGUUCGGGGAACCUUUCCUUGACGACAAGCAAUGUAAAUGCAAGCAGCAAUGAUGGACUGAGAUGACUUACCCUUCAAAGCCUUGUGAUCAUCAACACGCUUAUACAACUGUUUCGCGGUGUCAGCGAUUACCUUUGGCAAGCUAAUUGCAUCGCACAUUGCGCCUAUCUCCUUAUAUGCGGUUAAAAGAUUCUUUUCACCACGAACUUGAACGGAACGGCCUUGAGCCUUUGCCAACAUGGCUCCGGCACCGUCAUACGAAGAAAUUGUCGUGUCUAAUUGAGAACCAUUCAACAGUGGAUUCGCCACUUUACCUACACGACUGGGAUCUCCACUAGCUUCAUCAGAGUUGGAGAACGUACGCCAUUCACUUCUCGUAUCGAUAAUUCGAUCACCCAAAACCAAUCUGAUAUGUGGUUAGCCAAUGUAUUACACAUA